rnacentral:rRNA from 1 species
GACGAACGCUGGCGGCGUGCCUAACACAUGCAAGUCAACUUGACUGAAGGAGCAAUCUGACAGUAGAGUGGCGCAAGGGUGCGUAACGCGUAAGUAACUUGCCCCAAGGUAAGGAAUAACGUCGAGAAAUCGGCGCUAAUACCUCAUAAUGCAGCGGAUCCGCAUGGAUAUGUUGUUAAAGGUUUACCGCCUUGGGAUAGGCUUGCGUCUGAUUAGCUAGUUGGUGUGGUAACCGGCACACCAAGGCUACGAUCAGUAACUGGUCUGAGAGGAUGAUCAGUCACACUGGAACUGAGACACGGUCCAGACUCCUACGGGAGGCAGCAGUGAGGAAUAUUGGGCAAUGCUCGAAAGAGUGACCCAGCAAGCCGCGUGGAGGAUGAAGGAGUUCUAUAUCGU